CGUGAGAGUGAUGAGUUGCACCCUGAUCAGGGGGCAGGUUGCCGUGGCACCAGCUCCCUGACCCGACUAUUACUGGGGACACACCCAUGUGCACAGGGGCCAUCUGACUCACA